rnacentral:rRNA from 1 species
CACGAGUUCCGUGCCGCAGCUAACGCAUUAAGCGCCCCGCCUGGGGAGUACGGCCGCAAGGCUAAAACUCAAAGGAAUUGACGGGGGCCCGCACAAGCGGCGGAGCAUGCGGAUUAAUUCGAUGCAACGCGAAGAACCUUACCAAGGCUUGACAUAUACCGGAAACAUCCAGAGAUGGGUGCCCCUUUUGGUCGGUAUACAGGUGGUGCAUGGUUGUCGUCAGCUCGUGUCGUGAGAUGUUGGGUUAAGUCCCGCAACGAGCGCAACCCUCGUUCUAUGUUGCCAGCACGUAAAGGUGGGGACUCAUAGGAGACUGCCGGGGUCAACUCGGAGGAAGGUGGGGAUGACGUCAAAUCAUCAUGCCCCUUAUGUCUUGGGCUUCACGCAUGCUACAAUGGCCGGUACAAAGGGGUGCGAUACCGCAAGGUGGAGCGAAUCCCAAAAAACCGGUCUCAGUUCGGAUUGGGGUCUGCAACUCGACCCCAUGAAGUCGGAGUCGCUAGUAAUCGCAGAUCAGCAACGCUGCGGUGAAUACGUUCCCGGGCCUUGUACACACCGCCCGUCAAGUCACGAAAGUCGGUAAC